rnacentral:rRNA from 1 species
GUGUCAGCCGCCGCGGUAAUACGUAGGUGGCAAGCGUUGUCCGGAUUUACUGGGCGUAAAGCGCGCGCAGGUGGUUCGUUAAGUCCGGUGUGAAAGCUCCCGGCUCAACUGGGAGAGGCCAUUGGAGACUGGCGAACUGGAGGCAGGCAGAGGCUGGUGGAAUUCCCGGUGUAGUGGUGAAAUGCGUAGAGAUCGGGAGGAACACCCGUGGCGAAGGCGGCCAGCUGGGCCUGUUCUGACGCUGAGGCGCGAAAGCGUGGGGAGCGAACCGGAUUAGAUACCCGGGUAGUCCACGCCGUAAACGAUGGCCACUAGGUGUGGGGGGUAUCGACCCCCUCCGUGCCGACGCUAACGCAGUAAGUGGCCCGCCUGGGGAGUACGGCCGCAAGGCUAAA